UCUUCUCUUAAUUUCAAUAUCCAGCAACUUAAUUUCUUUAAUUACUAUAUGGGUUUUAUGUGGAUUUUUUUUUAGUGAUUUAUUUAUGCUUAUGAUUAUUUUAUUAUUAUUUUCUGGAUUUCUAUGUCUUAGCUAUUAAGAAUUUGUUAUCUGUACAGUGUUUCUUUGAGGAGAAACUUAGGCUCACACGUUCACGGAAAAAUCUAUAAUCCUUUGCUUGUUUUAAGAUUUAGGUACAUGUCAAGAAUAAACUUCUAAUCCGAGGAAAAGGUGGUUGAUUGUUAUCUUUGUUGUUUUGUUUUGUUUUCUUUCUAAGAUGUAAUUUAUGAUUUUAUAUUCUUGUUAGAAAGUUUGAAGUAUGGUGUCUUGGGGGAUAGCUGGUUAGGCUUUCUUUUACACUUGUUGUAGAUGUAAUUCGGCUUGCAUGCAUGCCUCACCUUUGUUGCUGUUUCACUGGUAGGACAGUAGUUUCAGGAAUUAACCUCAUUAGCUUUGAUUGUAGUUGUGAUUUGCUUGCUUAUCCCACCUCUUCUGCUCUUUUUUGAAUGCUGGCAUAGUAUUGUCAGGCAGAACAUCUAAUGUCCUUGUUAAAUAAAAAAAUUAACUGUCGUUUGUCGUUGAACAUGCAAAAUUUUAGUCUGGAGAAACUUGCUUUUAUUACAAGUUAUACUGUAGGCACCGAUAUUGUAGCAUUCAUCUAUUGGGUGAAAAGCUGUAAACAGAAUACUUCAAACCAUGCAAGCACUCAAAUUAAAUUAUCCACAAACUUUAAAAACUGUUUCUCAUUAUCAAAAGAUUGCCCUUUAUUUGAGUAAUAUAAUGUAUUAUAUUAACCCAAUCACCUUGAGAGAUUUUUGGUUUUUCCUCAAACUCACUUUUGUUACAUAUUUGUCAAAUCACCAAACAUAACUAACAAUAUACAGCCUCAAACACAAAUACAUUUGGCCAAACAAAAACCAAAUCAUCUUCAAACAUCAAUUAAACAUGCCCUGAACAAAGUGAAACUCACAACAAAAACAACACCCAUCAACUUCAUUGGAGACUUUGGUUUACUGAUGAAGU